AGAAAUUUAGGUUAACCCAAACCAAGAGCCUUCAAAGCCCUAAAUAUGAGACACACUCUUAAUUUCUG
rnacentral:tRNA from 1 species